AGAGUUUGAUCAUGGCUCAGGAUGAACGCUAGCGGCAGGCCUAAUACAUGCAAGUCGAGGGGCAGCGGGAGUAGCAAUACUUGCCGGCGACCGGCGCACGGGUGCGUAACGCGUAUGCAAUGUACUCUCUGCUGGCGAAUAGCCCUUCGAAAGAAGGAUUAAUACGCCAUAAUAUUCGGGUGUGGCAUCACACUCCAAUUAAAGCUCAGGCGGUAGAGAAUCAGCAUGCGUGACAUUAGCUAGUUGGUGAGGUAACGGCUCACCAAGGCUACGAUGUCUAGGGGUUCUGAGAGGAUGAUCCCCCACACUGGUACUGAGACACGGACCAGACUCCUACGGGAGGCAGCAGUAAGGAAUAUUGGACAAUGGCCGCAAGGCUGAUCCAGCCAUGCCGCGUGAAGGAUGACGGCCCUAUGGGUUGUAAACUUCUUUUGUUUGGGAGAAAACCCCUGUACGUGUACAGGGCUGAUAGUACCAAAAGAAUAAGGAUCGGCUAACUCCGUGCCAGCAGCCGCGGUAAUACGGAGGAUCCAAGCGUUAUCCGGAUUUAUUGGGUUUAAAGGGUGCGUAGGCGGAAUAAUAAGUCAGUGGUGAAAGCCUGUCGCUUAACGAUAGAACUGCCAUUGAUACUGUUAAUCUAGAGUCCGUUUGAAGUGGGCGGAAUGUGCAGUGUAGCGGUGAAAUGCUUAGAUAUUGCACAGAACACCGAUUGCGAAGGCAGCUCACUA
rnacentral:rRNA from 1 species